rnacentral:lncRNA from 1 species
GUGAGCCCAAAAGGAACCAAGAACCAGACCCAUAACCCAAUUAACGCAACCAGAUCAAUUAGGUCAUUUCACACACCCCAAAUUAGGGUUUUAAAACUUGGCAACUCAUCUGCUCGGACAGAUACGCAGAACACACGGAACCCUCUUGCCUACUCUCACAGCAGGUAUGUGCCUUUCUACCUCUAUGUUUUUCCUCUAUCUAUAUAUGCAGGAUGUAUGGCUGUAAGUCAAAAUUUUUUUUUAUCUGAAAUCUACUUUUAUUGCAUUUUGAAUCAGAACAGAGAAGAAUCAGAGGAGAAAAUGGCCAAGUCGAAGAAUCACACAGCGCAUAAUCAGUCACACAAAGCCCAUAAGAACGGCAUCAAGAAACCCAAACGCCAUCGUCACACAUCCACCAAAGGGGUUCGUCGAAUUCUCCUGAUUGUUCUUCUAUUAUAAUAUAUUUGUUUGUUUGUGUGUGGCUCGCGUUAAGAAGAGUGUGACGUAAUUUCUGUGGAGUAAAAUUAACCUGGGUUGUUCUGAUUUCUCUCCGUAGAUCUAGCAGCAAAUAAAAUGGAAUCGAGAAGAAAGAUUCAUGUAGUCUAUCCAAAUUUAUGGAGGAUAAGGCUUGUUUAUUGUUUUACGAGGGCAUGUGUGUAUAUAUAUCUAUGCAUACAUAAAUUUGUAAUCUUUUUUUAUUUAUGUAUAUAUAGAUGGACCCGAAGUUCUUGAGGAACCAGAGGUACGCAAGGAAGCACAACAAGAAGAGUGGCGACACCGCCACUGAGGAAGAGUAGAUUGAUAUUACACAAUCACCCUUCCCCCUACAUUUGGGAAAUGGAUGAUAGGCAUUUGGGUAUCUGGUGUUUGGGGGUUUUGGGGUUUUUCUAUUAAUUUGAUGAUGAUUAGGGUUUACCUUUUGAUGGAUUAUUGUAAUGAGAUCCUUUUUAUGCCACUAUUAUGUAUGAUGUGAACCAUUAGCUUCUUAUUAUCAAUGCUGUUUGGAAUUCCCAUUUGAGCAACAUGUGAUCGAUAUUAUUUGGGUUUUUUUAAUUUUCAUGUCAUUUUGAUUUGAUUAACAGCUGAUGAUUGCUUUGAUCUUGUUCCUUACUAGCCUGUUUGGUAAGCUAAUAUGACAGUAAAAAAAUUUAAAAUAUUGCUCGGUGUAUUAUAUGAUCCUUAUCCAAUAUUGUGAAUCAAACAUUCCUAACAUGAAUUGCUUAGAAUGUUGGUUUUUUGAAUAUUUCCUCAUUUUGAUGUCUGUUGUAUUUGUCUUGGAAGUUCAUGUUGUACUUUGGAAUGUUGCUGGUCUGGAUAUUUAUGAUUCGGUUGUUUGUAUAAUCCCCUAUUCAUGAUGUAUAACCAAGAGACCAUAUAUUGACUGUGUAUACUCCAUGUAACAUUGUUUUCUGUUCUCAUUGUGCAUAGUUAUCAAAGAGGAGAACAUUUAGUGAGAAAAGAUUUAAAACAUGCACUUGAGGCAGUCAUCUGUAGCAUCAGAAGUAGGACUGCCCUUUCGUGUGUCAUAUUGGCCUCAUUCUUUGUUCCUAUGAAAGUCUCAUCUCUCACAUUCUACUGUUCUAGGGAAACCUUCAUUGUGCUCUGUCUCCGGUUUUGUUUGGGACUUUAAUCAUAUGGUGAGAAGUGGUUGGUCGGCACGUAUUUGCUUAUUCCUCAGGGCAAUACCAAGUAUGUUUUUUUGCGGCUUUUCCCAUCAAACGGGUUUGGAUGGGUAUUAGAUACUGUUUGAAACUCCACUUAGACAUCGAGAAGGGAUCUAUUACUGAAUUUUUCAAUAUGCUAUAUCGUAUUAUGAAAGUGACAAAUUCACAAAUUCGAUUCUCAUUGAUUGGAUGUUCCAAAUAAUUUUGCAAUGAGGUUCUGGGAAGUGGCGAACAUUUAUUAUUACCAUGGUGGGUUACAAAACACGUUUGGUCACUUGUUUACUUUCCCUUUUUAGUAACUCACAUUCUUUUUCUUGCGUGUGUUGGGACACAGAGCCUGAGCUUAGAGCAAAGUCGGUAGAAUUUGGAGAAGGAAGCUGAAGAAUAAUACUUUCUAUGUGGUGUGAAGAUUUGCUUGAUUUUCUCCGAGCCAAGAGGGAAACGAACUACUUGAACUGUCUGGCCUGGAAAUAGCAUGGAAAUAUAGUGAAGUUGGGUUAGAUGAAAUGAGAAUUUAUUGUGAACAGCUGCAACUAUUUGCAGAAAUCAGGCAUUUCAAUAAAUUCCAUACAUGCUUAAUCAAAUCAAGGAAAUGAUUAUGUUGUCCCCAAAUGUACAGAAGAAUAUGCUGUUGGAAAACAUUCAGCAGCAUCUGGUUUUUUAUGAUGAAUCAUGCUACAUAUACAAUCUAAUUUGACAACAUUGAUCGAGA